AUGUGUCAGGAGCUGAAAACACUAAAAGAAAUGAUGGAAAGAGCGAACAUAGAUAACAACAAAAGGAAGGCGGCGCUGAAACUUAAAGGAGCCGAGGGUAGAGCUGCGGCCAACAAGAUCAGGGAAUACAUAUGGAACUGUGAUAUUGACUAUUCAAAUGAUCUUGUCAGGCUCGUAAGGAACCUAUGGAAGCAUUUCUCCACGUACCCUCACUACAUUAAGACGCAUCUUGGGGGUAGCCAAAGUGCUGUUUUGCGCAAGUUCGAGCAGUGGUGCCCUGAUGCCUGGACGUUGAUCUACAACACCGUGGGCCAACCAUGUACGGUGUCUUUCCUGUUUAGAUUUAAACUCCUUUCUCUCGUCAUGUAUGUUUUUAUUUUUCAUUGUGCUCAUGGAUUUCGAGUCGCUCGACUAGUCGCGACUAGUCGUCGACGAGUCGCAGUUCCAGGGCUGACUCAGCCUCUCGACUCGACUCCUGGGAUGAGUCGAGCGACUCGCGCGACUAGUCUCGACUAG
rnacentral:rRNA from 1 species